rnacentral:rRNA from 1 species
CCUUGAAAUACCACCCUUUAAUGUUUGAUGUUCUAACGUGGACCCGUAAUCCGGGUUGCGGACAGUGUCUGGUGGGUGGUUUGACUGGGGCGGUCUCCUCCUAAAGAGUAACGGAGGAGCACGAAGGUUGGCUAAUCCUGGUCGGACAUCAGGAGGUUAGUGCAAUGGCAUAAGCCAGCUUGACUGCGAGCGUGACGGCGCGAGCAGGUGCGAAAGCAGGUCAUAGUGAUCCGGUGGUUCUGAAUGGAAGGGCCAUCGCUCAACGGAUAAAAGGUACUCCGGGGAUAACAGGCUGAUACCGCCCAAGAGUUCAUAUCGACGGCGGUGUUUGGCACCUCGAUGUCGGCUCAUCACAUCCUGGGGCUGAAGUAGGUCCCAAGGGUAUGGCUGUUCGCCAUUUAAAGUGGUACGCGAGCUGGGUUUAGAACGUCGUGAGACAGUUCGGUCCCUAUCUGCCGUGGGCGCUGGAGAAUUGAGGGGGGCUGCUCCUAGUACGAGAGGACCGGAGUGGACGCAUCACUGGUGUUCGGGUUGUCAUGCCAAUGGCACUGCCCGGUAGCUAAAUGCGGAAGAGAUAAGUGCUGAAAGCAUCUAAGCACGAAACUUGCCCCGAGAUGAGUUCUCCCUGACUCCUUGAGAGUCCUGAAGGAACGUUGAAGACGACGACGUUGAUAGGCCGGGUGUGUAAGCGCAGCGAUGCGUUGAGCUAACCGGUACUAAUGAACCGUGAGGCUUAACCUU